CAGGACGAACGCUGGCGGCGUGCCUAAUACAUGCAAGUCGAACGGUCUUUCUAUGGAAGCUUGCUUCCACUGAGAAGAUAGUGGCGAACGGGUGAGUAACACGUGGGUAACCUGCCCAUAAGAGGGGGGAUAACAUCCGGAAACGGGUGCUAAUACCGCAUAGUUUUCUUGAUCGCAUGAUCGGGAAAGGAAAGACGGCCUUUGUGCUGUCGCUUAUGGAUGGACCCGCGGCGUAUUAGUUAGUUGGUGAGGUAACGGCUCACCAAGACGAUGAUACGUAGCCGACCUGAGAGGGUGAUCGGCCACAUUGGGACUGAGACACGGCCCAAACUCCUACGGGAGGCAGCAGUAGGGAAUCUUCCGCAAUGGACGAAAGUCUGACGGAGCAACGCCGCGUGAGUGAAAGAAGGUUUUCGGAUCGUAAAACUCUGUUGUCAGAGAAGAACAAGUUGGAGAGUAACUGCUCCAGCCUUGACGGUAUCUGACCAGAAAGCCACGGCUAACUACGUGCCAGCCGCGGC
rnacentral:rRNA from 1 species